AUCUAGCUCCUCUCCACAUGUGGAGGCACCUCUGACUGGUGCUCCACCUGAAUUUCAUGUCUAUCUGGUGCACCUGCAAAAAGUAAAACUGAAUAAGAAGUUAGCUGUCCAACCCUGUCCGGUUGGUUCUCCCCCCGCUCUUCUUUCACCCUUUGCAUCUUUAGGACUGAAUUCUCAUCAAAGACCACAUCCCUACUGAUAGUAGUCUUCUUCUCCAAGGGAUCCCAU
rnacentral:lncRNA from 1 species